rnacentral:tRNA from 1 species
GGCGACAUAGCCAAGCGGCAAGGCACGCGGCCGGCAAAGCCCCGAACCCUGGUUCGAAUCCAGGUGUCGCCUCCA